UAGUCCUAGCCUUGCAAUCAACUCUUACUUAACUUACACAUGCAAGUAUCCGCACCCCUGUGAAAACGCCCUUAAAUUCCCCCGGAAACAAGGAGCCGGUAUCAGGCACAAUUAUCAGCCCAAAACACCUAGCUAUGCCACAUCCCCACGGAAAUUCAGCAGUGAUUAAUAUUGUAAAUAAGCGACAGCUUGACUCAGUUAAAGUAAAAAGAGCCGGCAAAUCUGGUGCCAGCCGCCGCGGUUACACCAUUGAGGCUCAAGCUGAUUUUUUCGGCGUAAAGCGUGGUUAAAGUCACCAAAAUUAUAGCCAAACUAUAACUAAGCUGUAACACGCUUGUGUAUAGGAGAAUCAAAAACGAAAGUUACUAUAAUUAAAACAACUUGAACCCACGACAGUUGGGGUACAAACUGGGAUUAGAUACCCCACUAUGCCCUACCGUAAACUUUAAUCUACAUCUUCAUCGCCUGGGAACUACGAGCAAAGCUUAAAACCCAAAGGACUUGACGGUACCCCACAUCCACCUAGAGGAGCCUGUCCUAUAAUCGAUAAUCCCCGUUUAACCUCACCAUUUUUAGCCUUUAACAGCCUGUAUACCUCCGUCGUCAGCUUACCACGUGAGCGGCUCUUAGUGAGCUCAAUGUCAAUACACCAAUACGUCAGGUCAAGGUGCAGCAAAUAAGAUGGAAAGAGAUGGGCUACACUCUCUAAUUUAGAGUAUACGAAAAACUAUUUAUGAAAUCUAGUUAGAAGGAGGAUUUAGUAGUAAAAGAGGACAAGAGAGCCCCUUUUAACAUGGCACUGGGGUGUGUACACACCGCCCGUCACCCUCUUCAAAUACAAUAAAAAAGUUCAUAACACACUUAGACCUUAGAGAAGAGAUAAGUCGUAACAUGGUAAGUAUACCGGAAGGUGUGCUUGGAAA
rnacentral:ncRNA from 1 species